UAUAUAUAUAUAUAGUUGAGCUAGAAUACUAUCGAUAGUAAACAAGCCGUUUUACUAGCACGUUAAAUAUGAUCUAAACCAUUUAAACUACUUAGAAAUUAAAUUUCACGCACUUUCGAUAUUGUUCUUUUAUUCAUCAAGUGAACAGAAAAAUGAAUGACUGAAAAUGAAUAUUCUUUAAAAAAAUGAUGAUAGGAGUCUUGUAAUCAAGAUCAAGAGUAUAGAUCUUGUUUUAAAUAGUUUAAAGAAUUUUCUAACAAAAAUUCAAUUGAUUUGGAUAUCUUUACGCCGUUAAACGAGAAAACGCUUCUUAUUGACCAUUAAAAUUACAAAUUUUGAAACUCUUUGAUCAUUAGGCAAAUGAUGUCGAAAAGAUUUGAAAUUUGAUUUCUAAAUACUUCAAGUGAUAUAGAUCAUGUUCAACGGAGCCGAUCGUCAGUUUGGAUGCUCUAUCAUCGAAAACAAAUAGGUAGUAAAACAACUCGUUUACUAUCGAUAGUAUUCUAGCAAAACUCUCUCUAUAUUUAUUUAUUUAUUUAUUUUUUCUUUCUUCUCUUAUUCUUUCGCCACCUCAUUCGCCCAAUGUUAUGUUUUUGAUACUUUAUUAUGCAAUCUGUUUGUUGAAAUGUAUUUCUGAUUGGAACCUUUGUAUUACAUUGAUUGCGACGUUUAGAACGUAUAGGAAAAACUCUAUCCGUUCGGCGAUCUGUUGGUGCGUCCGAAUCUGAUCAAAUAGGCGGGACUUGAGGCGUGACAUCCAAUGACAUGACUGUCAUUAUCGUUCUCUUCGUGUGCUUUGACAUUAGUGGCCUUGACCUCUUGCAGUGACUCUGCCGCUAUAUAGAGCGCUUUUGCAUUCCAAAAUCACGGUAGCUAUUCAACACACGAAGCGUGGCGAUGCUAAAAGUCACAUGCGGACUGUUGGACGAAAUGCCUCACCGCAUCACCAUCUCGUACACCACCAUCGUACACUCCAGUAAGUAAGUUAUUAAGCCUUAUAUUUUUUUUUUUGAAAAAGAGAGAAGAAUGAAAGGAGAGAGAGAGAAUAGAAAAGUAUAACUUAUUUCAGGGAUAGAAUUAAGUUCAGAAUUAAUAUGAGAUUAGAGUAUUUUUUUAUUUGGUUGGGGGCUGGAGUUCGUCUAGAAUAGUAAAAAAUAAUAUUUGAUUGGAGUAGGUGGGAUAAGAAGAAUAGUGAAUUAUUAUGAAUAAAAAAUAAUAUUUGAUUAGCGUUUGGUCGGAUUAGGUGGAAUUAGCUAACCCCAUCCAAAAUAGACUAUCCCGGAUUAACUAACUCCAUCCAUUUUUAAAGGUGGUGGGAGAUAAUUAGGGGUUAAAAAGUUAUUUCACCCCUUAACCCCCAACCAAACAAAGAUGGAAAAAUAUAACUGAUAUUAAUUGCCCCUUUUAUUAAAAAGAGAAAGUUUCUCUCAUCUUUCUCUUUCCAAUAAAGAAGCAAUUAUUGUAGGCUAUAAAUUGUAUUUUUCUAUUCUCUCUCUUUACUUUCUCUUUCUAAUAUUUCUUCACCACAUUAAUUACUCUAUUUAUUGAAAAACAGAACUGACAUGCUUAACUAAUAUACUUUUUUUCUCGAAAUAAAAGUAAGAGUUCAAUCUGCUUUAAAAUGGUGCAAU
rnacentral:lncRNA from 1 species